rnacentral:rRNA from 1 species
UACGGGGGGGGCAAGCGUUGUUCGGAAUUACUGGGCGUAGAGGGCUCGUAGGCGGCCAACUAAGUCAGACGUGAAAUCCCUCGGCUUAACCGGGGAACUGCAUCUGAUACUGGAUGGCUUGAGAUUGGGAGAGGGAUGCGGAAUUCCAGGUGUAGCGGUGAAAUGCGUAGAUAUCUGGAGGAACACCGGUGGCGAAGGCGGCAUCCUGGACCAACACUGACGCUGAGGAGCGAAAGCCAGGGGAGCAAACGGG